UGAACGCUGGCGGCGUGCUUAACACAUGCAAGUCGAACGAGAACGGUCCUAGCUUGCUAGGAUGUCAGCUAAGUGGCGCACGGGUGAGUAAUGUAUAGGUAACCUACCCCGAAGAGCGGGAUAACGUCUGGAAACGGACGCUAAUACUGCAUACUCCUUCUUGACUUAAGUUGAGAAGGGAAAUGAAUUUCGCUUCGGGAUGGGCCUUUAUCGCAUCAGCUAGUUGGUAAGGUAACGGCUUACCAAGGCUAUGACGCGUAGCUGAUCUGAGAGGAUGAUCAGCCACACUGGUACUGAGACACGGACCAGACUCCUACGGGAGGCAGCAGUGGGGAAUAUUGCACAAUGGAGGAAACUCUGAUGCAGCAACGCCGCGUGGAGGAUGACACAUUUCGGUGCGUAAACUCCUUUUAUAGGUCAAGAUAAUGACGGUAGCCUAUGAAUAAGCACCGGCUAACUCC
rnacentral:rRNA from 1 species